rnacentral:rRNA from 1 species
CGCGUAGGCGGCCCUAUAAGUCAGAUGUGAAAGCCCGGGGCUUAACCCCGGAAGUGCAUUUGAAACUAUUGGGCUUGAGUAUGGGAGAGGGAAGUGGAAUUCCUGGUGUAGAGGUGAAAUUCGUAGAUAUCAGGAGGAACACCGGUGGCGAAGGCGACUUCCUGGACCAAUACUGACGCUGAGGCGCGAAGGCGUGGGGAGCAAACAGGAUUAGAUACCCUGGUAGUCC